rnacentral:rRNA from 1 species
GACGAACGCUGGCGGCGUGCCUCAAACAUGCAAGUCGAGCGGACGGAGACCGAACCGCAAGGGGAGGUUGAAGUUAGCGGCGAACGGGUGAGUAACACGUGGGUAACCUACCCUAAAGUCUGGGACAACGGCCCGAAAGGGCCGCUAAUACCGGAUAAUGUCUUCGGGUCGCAUGGCCUGGGGAAGAAAGCCGAAAGGCGCUUAUGGAUGGGCUCGCGUCCCAUCAGCUAGUUGGUAAGGUAACGGCUUACCAAGGCGACGACGGGUAGCCGGUCUGAGAGGAUGGUCGGCCACACUGGGACUGAGAUACGGCCCAGACUCCUACGGGAGGCAGCAGUUGGGAAUAUUGGGCAAUGGGCGAAAGCCUGACCCAGCGACGCCGCGUGAGGGAAGAAGGCCUUCGGGUCGUAAACCUCUGUCAUCGGGGACGAAGAAAGUGACGGUACCCGAGGAGGAAGCCCUGCUAACUACGUG